rnacentral:rRNA from 1 species
GAUGAACGCUGGCGGCGUGCCUAAUACAUGCAAGUCGAGCGAACAGACGAGGAGCUUGCUCCUCUGACGUUAGCGGCGGACGGGUGAGUAACACGUGGAUAACCUACCUAUAAGACUGGGAUAACUUCGGGAAACCGGAGCUAAUACCGGAUAAUAUAUUGAACCGCAUGUUUCAAUAGUGAAAGACGGUUUUGCUGUCACUUAUAGAUGGAUCCGCGCCGCAUUAGCUAGUUGGUAAGGUAACGGCUUACCAAGGCAACGAUGCGUAGCCGACCUGAGAGGGUGAUAGGCCACACUGGAACUGAGACACGGUCCAGACGCCUAAGGGAGGCAGAAGUAGGGAAUCUUCCGCAAUGGGCGAAAGCUUGAAGGAGCAACGCCGCGUGAGUGAUGAAGGUCUUCGGAUCGUAAAACUCUGUUAUUAGGGAAGAACAAAUGUGUAAGUAACUAUGCACGUCUUGACGGUACCUAAUCAGAAAGCCACGGCUAACUACGUG